rnacentral:lncRNA from 1 species
UUCAAGCUCAGCUCGACUUGAGUAUGUUUUUGUUCCAGCUCUGAGUAGCGAGCCACAAGAUCACAAGAGUUCUGCGAAGAACCAAUCGACUAAAUGUCAAAAAUAAUUCACUUCCGAGUGAAAAGGGAAAAACACACGUUUCUAAGACUACAGCCGAAUACAAGCAUUCGACCGUAGUCUCGGGGACUACACCCAGUGGGUGCACUCAGCGUGCCCCCACUAAUCCUGUUGAAGACAAAGUCGACCAGUCGACCUCAAAAAAAAAGAGAUGCAUUCUCUAAGACUGUGAUCAACUGCAAGCAGUCGACCACAGUCUCGGGGACUACACCCAGUGGGUGCACUCAGCGUGCCCCCACCGGUUUGUGAAAUCCAGUCGACCGGUCGACUGACGGAAAGAUUGACAUCAUAAAGCCUAAGGCCGACUGCAAGCAGUCGACCUUAGCCUUGGGGACUACACCCAAUGGGUGCACUCAGCGUGCCCCCACCGGUUUGUGAAAUCCAGUCGACCAGUCGACUGACAGAAAGAUUGACAUCAUAAAGCCUAAGGCCGACUGCCAGCAGUCGACCUUAGCCUUGAGGACUACACCCAGCGGGUGCACUCAGCGUGCCCCCGCUAACACGGAGUUUAUUCGACACACCCAGUGGGUGACUGCUAUAAAUUCCGGAAAAGAAAAGUUUUUUGGUAGCAUAUCCAACAGAACAAACAACGGUCGACUGACCUGGACAUUGCUUUGGAGGGCAGAGCUGGCGUCAUAAGCUGCCUGGCUCGCGUCCCGGAUGGUCUUCAGCUGCUCCAUCAUGAGUCCCGCCUGGCGUAUUGCUUCCUUCGCUGCACCAGCUUGGUCCUCUGGGACGUGGUGAGUCGUGAAGAGGGAGGGCUGCUGAGCACUCGUCAGUGGAUUUGCGAAGGACACCGUGUUUUCCGACUCUUCCUGCGUGCCAGUGGUUCUUCAUCCUCGUCGUCGUCAGGAAGAUUGAUAACAGUAUUGGGCGGAGCUGCGGAGAAGAAUCAGGAUCGGAGGUCGCGAGUCAGUCGACUAAAAACGGUGUUAAGAAUACAGUACCUGGGUUCGAAGUUGCCGCAUCCUCCAUCUCGUGGUCAUCGGCCCGGGCCGAGGUCUCAGAAGUAGCAGCACUGCAACUCCAAAGGAUCAGUCGACUAACUUAAGCGUCGACCAGAGAUAAAGUUCACACAGAAUAAGAAAAUAUGAGCAGCACAGUUACCCUGAUAUGGUGGGGAUGGACACCUUCAUCUUCGGCAAGAGCUUGAUCGGCUUCGACGAGGCCGCCCUGGGCUGCUUCGGC